GUAUAAUAAUAUACUCCGCCUGGUACUCCAUUCCCGUCUUUUCUAGGUCACCUAACUGACACGGGCUUACGUCAUCAUGCGACAGCGCUAUAUGAUAAUAUGCGAUAGCGCUAUAUAUAGCGGCCAUGUUGUUGUGACGUAGCCCCGUGUCACUCUGGGAAUGGAAGACCAUGUUUUAUUAGACUAUGACUUUGCAUCAUAUUGUACCUAAAAAUCUUCCUAAGUCCAGUCCAUCCUAUAUGUAUGUACAAAUGUAGUGCAUAAUUGUUUUCCAUCGUAUUUUCUCGGAAACGUUCGUAUUAAAAUUGUCAUGCUACUUCAGUCAACGUCAGUACUUUUUGUACCGAGACUGACUGAAAUAACAAGACACGUUCGUAAGUUUCCGUGAAAAUACGAUGGAAAAUAAUUAUACACUACAUCUGUGUAAAUAUUUAAGAAACUUAUAGAAGAUACACCCUAUUGUGACAUGUUGAAAAUUAUUGAGAAAAUACGGUCUUUAGGGAAAAAUAUCAUAAAAAUGAUAUCUGCAACUUUUUAUAUAAAUAAAGACCUUAUGAGCUCGGUUCAGAGUUUAAAAUAGAGUGACAGAUAUUCUUAAGGUUAUACCUACGACGUGAUAUUUUCCCCUAAAUUCCGCCUUGGACUUGUGUUUGUCGUAUAUUUAUUGAAGAUGUUUAUUUUUCUAAGAGUCCCAUCUCCGUAUUAUUUUGUAUUUAACGAGAAGUUAUGGAAUAAAUUACAAUAAAGAUGCUUUGUUUUAAAA